rnacentral:ncRNA from 1 species
GUUCUUCAGGGCAGGGUGGAACUCCCUACCGGCGGUAUAGCCCGCGACCCAUGGAAUAUCGUUCCAUGGCUGAUUCGGUUGAAUUCCGAAGCCGACAGUUACAGUCUGGAUGAGAGAAGAC